rnacentral:rRNA from 1 species
GAUGAACGCUAGCGGCAGGCCUAAUACAUGCAAGUCGAACGAUACCAGAGAGCUUGCUUUCUGGGAAAGUGGCGCACGGGUGCGUAACGCGUAUGCAACCUACCUUAAUCAGGGGGAUAGCCUCUCGAAAGAGAGAUUAACACCGCAUAAAAUCACACUUCGGCAUCGAAGAAUGAUCAAAUAUUUCUAGGAAUAAGAUGGGCAUGCGUGACAUUAGCUAGUUGGUGAGGUAAUGGCUCACAAAGGCUACGAUGUCUAGGGGAUCUGAGAGGAUGGCCCCCCACACUGGUACUGAGACACGGACCAGACUCCUACGGGAGGCAGCAGUAAGGAAUAUUAGUCAAUGGAGGCAACUCUGAACCAGCCAGGCCGCGUGCAGGAAGACGGCCCUAUGGGUUGUAAACUGCUUUUGUACAGGAAGAAACACCCCUUCGUGAAGGGACUUGACGGUACUGUAAGAAUAAGGAUCGGCUAACUCCGUGCCAGCCGCCGCUGUAACAC